rnacentral:ncRNA from 1 species
UGAGACCUGAUGCCGAGCCGAUUGUGGUGAAGUGGAUGAUCCUAUGCUGUCGAGAAAAGCCUCUAGCGAGUUUCAUGGCGGCCCGUACCCUAAACCGACUCAGGUGGUCAGGUAGAGAAUACCGAGGCGUUCGGGUGAACUAUGGUUAAGGAACUCGGCAAAAUGCCCCCGUAACUUCGGGAGAAGGGGGGCCAUUCUUGGUGAUCCGUUUUACACGGUGAGCUGGGGGUGGCCGCAGAGACCAGCGAGAAGCGACUGUUUACUAAAAACACAGGUCCGUGCGAAGCCGUAAGGCGAUGUAUACGGACUGACGCCUGCCCGGUGCUGGAACGUUAAGGGGACCGGUUAGUCACUCUUCGGGGUGGCGAAGCUGAGAACUUAAGCGCCAGUAAACGGCGGUGGUAACUAUAACCAUCCUAAGGUAGCGAAAUUCCUUGUCGGGUAAGUUCCGACCUGCACGAAUGGCGUAACGACUUCUCGACUGUCUCAACCAUAGGCCCGGUGAAAUUGCACUACGAGUAAAGAUGCUCGUUUCGCGCAGCAGGACGGAAAGACCCCGGGACCUUUACUACAGUUUGAUAUUGGUGUUCGGUUCGGCUUGUGUAGGAUAGCUGGGAGACUGUGAACUCUGGACGCCAGUUCAGGGGGAGUCGUCGUUGAAAUACCAGUCUGGUCGUGCUGGAUGUCUAACCUGGGUCCGUGAUCCGGAUCAGGGACAGUGUCUGAUGGGUAGUUUAACUGGGGCGGUUGCCUCCUAAAGAGUAACGGAGGCGCCCAAAGGUUCCCUCAGCCUGGUUGGCAAUCAGGUGUUGAGUGUAAGUGCACAAGGGAGCUUGACUGUGAGACCGACGGGUCGAGCAGGGACGAAAGUCGGGACUAGUGAUCCGGCGGUGGCUUGUGGAAGCGCCGUCGCUCAACGGAUAAAAGGUACCCCGGGGAUAACAGGCUGAUCUUCCCCAAGAGUCCAUAUCGACGGGAUGGUUUGGCACCUCGAUGUCGGCUCGUCGCAUCCUGGGGCUGGAGUCGGUCCCAAGGGUUGGGCUGUUCGCCCAUUAAAGCGGUACGCGAGCUGGGUUUAGAACGUCGUGAGACAGUUCGGUCCCUAUCCGCUGYGCGCGYAGGAGUCUUGAGAAGGGCUGUCCCUAGUACGAGAGGACCGGGACGGACGAACCUCUGGUGUGCCAGUUGUUCUGCCAAGGGCAUGGCUGGUUGGCUACGUUCGGGAGGGAUAACCGCUGAAAGCAUCUAAGCGGGAAGCCUGCUUCGAGAUGAGGACUCCCACCUCCUAGAGAGGGUAAGGCUCCCAGUAGACGACUGGGUUGAUAGGCCGGAUAUGGAAGCACGGUAACGUGUGGAGUUGACCGGUACUAAUAGGCCGAGGGCUUGUCCUC